AACUUUCAACAACGGAUCUCUUGGUUCUCGCAUCGAUGAAGAACGCAGCGAAACGCGAUAGGUAAUGUGAAUUGCAGAAUUCCGUGAAUCAUCGAAUCUUUGAACGCACAUUGCGCUCCCUGGUAUUCCUAGGAGCAUGUCUGUCUGAGCGUC
rnacentral:rRNA from 1 species